rnacentral:rRNA from 6 species
GACGAGGCACUACGGUGCUGAAGCAACAAAUGCCCUGCUUCCAGGAAAAGCCUCUAAGCAUCAGGUAACAUCAAAUCGUACCCCAAACCGACACAGGUGGUCAGGUAGAGAAUACCAAGGCGCUUGAGAGAACUCGGGUGAAGGAACUAGGCAAAAUGGUGCCGUAACUUCGGGAGAAGGCACGCUGACACGUAGGUGAAGUGAUUUACUCACGGAGCUGAAGUCAGUCGAAGAUACCAGCUGGCUGCAACUGUUUAUUAAAAACACAGCACUGUGCAAACACGAAAGUGGACGUAUACGGUGUGACGCCUGCCCGGUGCCGGAAGGUUAAUUGAUGGGGUCAGCGCAAGCGAAGCUCCUGAUCGAAGCCCCGGUAAACGGCGGCCGUAACUAUAACGGUCCUAAGGUAGCGAAAUUCCUUGUCGGGUAAGUUCCGACCUGCACGAAUGGCGUAAUGAUGGCCAGGCUGUCUCCACCCGAGACUCAGUGAAAUUGAACUCGCUGUGAAGAUGCAGUGUACCCGCGGCAAGACGGAAAGACCCCGUGAACCUUUACUAUAGCUUGACACUGAACAUUGAGCCUUGAUGUGUAGGAUAGGUGGGAGGCUUUGAAGUGUGGACGCCAGUCUGCAUGGAGCCGACCUUGAAAUACCACCCUUUAAUGUUUGAUGUUCUAACGUGGACCCGUAAUCCGGGUUGCGGACAGUGUCUGGUGGGUAGUUUGACUGGGGCGGUCUCCUCCUAAAGAGUAACGGAGGAGCACGAAGGUUGGCUAAUCCUGGUCGGACAUCAGGAGGUUAGUGCAAUGGCAUAAGCCAGCUUGACUGCGAGCGUGACGGCGCGAGCAGGUGCGAAAGCAGGUCAUAGUGAUCCGGUGGUUCUGAAUGGAAGGGCCAUCGCUCAACGGAUAAAAGGUACUCCGGGGAUAACAGGCUGAUACCGCCCAAGAGUUCAUAUCGACGGCGGUGUUUGGCACCUCGAUGUCGGCUCAUCACAUCCUGGGGCUGAAGUAGGUCCCAAGGGUAUGGCUGUUCGCCAUUUAAAGUGGUACGCGAGCUGGGUUUAGAACGUCGUGAGACAGUUCGGUCCCUAUCUGCCGUGGGCGCUGGAGAACUGAGGGGGGCUGCUCCUAGUACGAGAGGACCGGAGUGGACGCAUCACUGGUGUUCGGGUUGUCAUGCCAAUGGCACUGCCCGGUAGCUAAAUGCGGAAGAGAUAAGUGCUGAAAGCAUCUAAGCACGAAACUUGCCCCGAGAUGAGUUCUCCCUGAGACUUAGAGUCUCCUGAAGGAACGUUGAAGACGACGACGUUGAUAGGCCGGGUGUGUAAGCGCAGCGAUGCGUUGAGCUAACCGGUACUAAUGAACCGUGAGGCUUAACCUUACAACGCCGAAG